UUUACCAUGAAUUAAUGAAAGGAUAGAACUAUAAUAUACGUCAAAUUCAGCGAAAUCGAAGGGAACAAUGUCUGGUGUUCCCCUUGUCAGUUUUUUUUUUUUUUACGAACCACUCAGUUAUAGAGUACUUAUCUUUUAAUGAUAAAAUUAUUUAAUAAGAUAUAUUUAUACUAUUUUAUUACACAGCAUAAUUAUUGUGGCAGAGAAAAUUAGUGAUGCAAAAAUUGGCAAUGUCGCAAAACAGCUGAUUUGAUCUGAAAAAAUCACAUUGUAUCUGAUUGCACGUUCGAUAUCCGAAUAAUGUAUAUAUAUGUAAUAAAAAGCCAUGUAAGUCAUAAAAAUGUGUGUGUGCGUGUAUGUAAAAUGUAAUGUAACAAUGAAAACGAUUUCAUUCGAGACUCGAUAUAUAUAUAUAUAUGCAAUAAAAAAAGCCAGUGUGUAUUAUUGUAUAAUAAUAAAAAUGAUUGCGUGUGAGUAUAUAUGCAAAAUAUAGUUAAUAGCGAAAGCGAUCAAUCAAUUUUUACGCACAAAUGCAUAUAAAGUCACAUUAUUAUUUCUAGUAUUUGAGGAUAAUUCCUAAUUAGUGUCCAAUGCAUAUUACGUGUGUAACGAGAAUAUUUCUAUUUUACACUUAUUGUGAUAUCCGAUAGAUUAAUAUACUUUCUAAGAUUUUCUAGCGCGCGCUAUUCUUGUUUCUAAAUAAUUUUAUUUUAUUGUUUAAUGAAACAUUGAUGAUAAAAUGCAAAAUGGAAAAGAGUUAUAUAUAACAUUGAUAUAUAUUAUGUAAUUAUGUAAUAUAUUUUAUAAUUUUUAAAAUCAGAUAAAAUAUAUUAAUAAUGCGAAACGCAUAUGUCUUCUAAUUGAAUAUACCCACUUCAUUAUACCCACACAUCUUAUUGUGCCACACAUAUCUCUUUAUUAAUUAUGUUAAAAAAUUAACCGAACCCCUCGGUCGUGAAGAAGAUUUUCGAAAAUAUAUAUUAGAUAUAUUUGUACGUAACAGCCGAAAUUCCUUUAUCGUGAGCUCAUGCCGAAGGUUCGAGAAUUUGCCUAUAUAGGUUGUUUGUCACAGUCGUAUGAAUCGCUGAUUGGUAGCCCUUUGCCGUUCGAUCGACAAUACCAAUCAAAACGAGCGUACAUCGGCGGCUCAACACGGAGAUCGCGAUCACGCAGAGUCGCAGAACCGUUGUUACCGCAGUUCGUGCGUAGUGCGACUUACUACGUGCAUUGCGUAGAGCGUAAUAUUUCGGUGCAUAUUUUUUCAAAAACGCGAGUGAAUAAUUAAUUAAGCGCAAAGUGUCCAAUGAGAUCUUAGCGCAGUGUAGUGAUGCGCUAAUAUAAGUGAACAUUUCCUGUGUGCGGAUUUCCUGAGACGAGGAGAUUCUUCGGUACGCAGUACAGAGAAUGAACGAAUUCCUGCAAGAGGCUGAAACGCUCGCUGAGCGUCCAGGAUAUACCUCGUUCGGCCAGUUCCCUCUGCAAAACCCUACGAUCAUUCUAAUUAAGGAGUCGUAAUAUUGACGACAUGUCUGCGCGAAAGAGCGGAGGAAGGGAGACGAUGGAUUCGUUGGAGAAAACGAGCGGCCGGAUGGAAGGAUCUUAAUUUCAUAAGGAUCUGUUCCCGAAGGAGAUCGAUUUUUCUGACCCUCGAAUACGUUAAUAACCUCUGGUUGCGUGUGCGCUCGUCCGGCCUAUCGUCAGGAUAGAUGCAUCUGGUGCAGCGGAAAAUGUAACACCACCGAGUUCUGCACCGUCAGUCUUCACCCCGCCGGAAAUACCAGAAUUUUUGCUGGCCGAUGAAUUCACUCAGCUCGACGAUUCGAACGCUUUUCGCCGAUAUUUAAACGGUAACCGUUAAUACAUCAAAACACGAACGAGUAAAUAGCGUCGCGUUCAGCCGGUGCGUGCUCGUGCGCUGUCCUUCAAGCUGAAAAACUCUAACAAACAGCCCGGUUCUCGAACGAUCUGCGUCGAAGAACAUCGUUUGUAUCCACUCUACAAUGGAGAUUUGAUUUCCUGGAACGGUCCUGCGAUGCAACAUACAUAUUCAUUGGGAGAUCGUUGCAUCUACAAGUUAGAGCGGCGGCUCUAGAGGCCGCUCACGCGACUAAGCUCCGCAGUUUUUCGCACGCUUUGCUGUCGAAAGACCGCCAGAAUGCGGCGGUGUACUCUGCGACGACCUACAGCUGUACGGCUCUUGUGAACAGGCAGAUGAUGAUUGCUUGGAGCACCUGGUGGAGCACCUUGCGCCUCUUGGUCGUCUGCAGCUAGAUAGAUCCGGCGUAGUCGACGCCGAUGUGGAGAAAGGACUUUGCUGGCGU